CUGGGAGAUACAAUCCUGAGCUGCUAGUAAUCAGCCAUCCUGGAUCUCUCACCUGGUCACAGUUCCCUGAAAAGAAACUUUGGAUCUUGAGAUGAAAAAAGAUCUAUUAGGUCAUCUUGUCCAUCUUACCGCCAGCAGAGAAUUGCUCCCGACAGUAAAGAAGUUAACUUAUUGACAGCACUCUUUAAGCAGCAAUUUACCAGGGAUCCCCAACCUCCAGGCCAUUGAAAAGUACUGGAGCCAUGGAACCAGACCACACAGCAGGAAGUGAGCAGCAGGCAAGAGACCAUUAUGGCCUGAUUUUCACCUCCUGUCAGUUCCUUCUCAGCUCUGUCUCUCACCUGCCUCCAUGUAAGACAGUGCCUGCUUCCCCUUCUGACAGGAUUCUGUUUCCUGAGGCCUUCCAAGCCCUGCGGAACUGUGAGUCAAGUAAACCUCUUCCUUUAUAAAGUACCCAGACUGAGGUAUGUCUCUAUGGCAGUGUGAAAACAGACUAAAACAGAGAUGCUGGAAAAGAUUUCCCAAUCUUUUCAUAUAUUGUAAAAUAAUGUCACUUCUUACACUUAAAUAUUUACAAAUGGCUACAAAUCGUUUGCAUUUUUAUUAGGCACACACUUCAAAAUUGUGACUUAAACUGUUGAAAGCAACAAUCAUAUAGUAGCUGUCAUUAUGACAGUAUGGAUAUCAGUUUGAAAGUUUUGUAAAAUAUUACACUCACAUGCCAUAUUUUGCAAUGAACCUCUGUUAAACACUUGUAAAUUUGCAGUGUGCAUUUAUCCACACUAUCUCAUUUAACACUGUUCUAUGAGAGAGAUAUUUUGGCCAUUUCCAGACAGGAAGUAGAUACUGAGAGGGGUCACCAGACUUUCCUAAGUCCACACACAGAGUGAGUGGUAGAACCAGAGUGAGUGGUAGACCCUAUUUAGGCCACCUAUCUUCCAGGCAAACGUUCUCAGAAAGCAUCUUUGGUGUGGGAUGAUGAAAGAGGCUAGAGAUCACAUGGAUGUGAAUUCAAGGCUUAAUUCUAACACCUGACAGGUGACUUUGUAAGUUUUGGUAUAAGUGUUGUAUAGCUUUUUAAAAGUUAUUUGCUGUAGUGUUUUUGUGAGGCUUAAAUGAGCUAAUGUUAAUGAAAGUACUUUGUUAGUGUUAAAAUUACAUCAAAAUAUUAAGAGUUGUGUUGCCUUUGCUAAAGGAAAACUGUUAUCACAUUUGGAAUGGCCUUAUGUAAAUGUUUUCAAUGGGGAAUAAAUUGCCUAUGAAACCAUUCCAAUAAUGAAUCUAAAGCCUGCUGGCAAAUGUGGUGGAGCCUGGAAAAGACACGUUCGGAUAUUGUCUCUUUAUCUCUCUAAUGUCUCUGUGGCUAAAGGAGUGUAGCAGCUGCUGCUGUUACUAUCACUGUCAUAAUUAUUAUUUCUAAGUUAUUGAUGGGAAAACCAACAAGAUAAUGUGUGAGUAUGUGUGUGUGGUAUGUUUGAUGUGUUUUUGUGUUUGUAUAAGUUUGAUGACUGGCACAAAGGAAACACUCAUUAAAUCAUUUUAUUAUUGCUGCUAUGAUAUUUUAUGCUACUUUAUUGAAAGAAAGUAAGUUUUAACAUCUAUUACUCCAGAAUAAUCUCCAGGUCUGAAUAGAUUCCUUUAAUAUCAAGGGAUCAUAUGAAAGAUAAGUCAUUGAUUUAAUGUGGCAAUCAGAUUCAUUGAGUAGGUAGAAUUAACCAUGAGCGGUGUGAUAAUGAGACAAUAAUAGUAUUUUUAAAUGUCAAAUGUGAUUUUUGAUGCUGGAAAAUUUAGUUGAUGAUGAAAACUAGAGGUUUUCAGAGAAGCAAUGAUUAUAAUAAUUAAUAUGAGCUGAGCCCUUACAUUGUGUGCCAGACAUUAUGGAGGUUCUUUGAGCAUAUUAUCUCAUUGAAAUCUCAAAAAAAUUCAUAAAAUUCACAUGAUGUGCAUUAAUGGAUGAAGAAAUCAGGCAUAUUAGUUGGCAAGUGACUGAGUCUGGCUACGAUUUAAGGUAAUUUCACUCCAAGUUGACAUGCAUGUAACACCAUGUUAUUUUCCCUCUCACAAUACUAUUGAAGUGUAAACUGAAUUAAUGUGACUCUUGUGUACAAGGAAGGAGAGUUAGUGGGUCCUCUUGUACACUUUGCUUAUCAAACCACUCACUAGAUGCUAGAGGAAACAAUAAACAAUAAAAGUUAUAAAUGAUUAUUGUCUUAGUAUAGGACAACCAGAAUGAUGAGGCUGCUUCAGUCUAUGUUAUCUGAGAGCACUUGAAAUGAUACUUCUGUAGCCCAACAAUAUGAAUGAAUCAUCUUCAAAUUUUUAAAAAGUGUGUUACGUAUACACCAUGGAAUACUAUGCAACCAUAAAAAGGAAUGAGUUCAUGUGCUUUGCAGCAAAAUGGAUGGAGCUAGAGGCCAUGAUUCUAGGUGAACUAAUGCAGCAACAGAAAACUACAUACUGGAUGUUUGCACUUAUAAUUUGGAGCUAAACAUGGAGUACACAUGGACACAAAGAAGGGACAACAGACACCUGGGCCUACACAAGGGUGGAGGGUAAGAGGAGGUAGAUGAUUGCAAAACUACCUAUUGGGGACUAUGCUUAUUACCUAGGUAAUGAAAUAAUCUGUACAACAAAUUCUUGUGACAUGCUAUUUACCUAUAUAACAAACCUGCACAUGUACCACUGAACCUAAAAUAGAAAUUAGGAAGAAAGUAAAAAAAGAAUUUCAAGAUGGCAGCAGCACAACAUUUAAAUAAUUCAUACAACAAAUUGAAUUUUUAUUCAACUCAUUAUGAUUAGACAAUUUAAUAUAAUCAUAGCAUAGCAUUUUGACAAAGGAGGCAUUUGCUAUUCAUUAUACUUAGAAUGCUUUGGGGGCAUGUGCAACAGGAAUAGAUAAUUAGGAAGGGUGGCAGUCAGAAUACUUGUGCCAUGUAGAGAACAGUUGAAGAAACUGAGGAUUUCCAUUAUAAAUGGAUGUAUCUCUAUCUAUCUAUGUAUCUAUCUACCUAUGUAUCUAUCUAAGAAUCUAUCUAUGUAUCUAUGUAUCUAUGUAUCUAUGUAUCUAUCUAUCUAUCUAUCUAUCUAUCUAUCUAUCUGGGAAAGAUGUUUUAUGCUUAAUUUAAUAAAAAGUUGAAUAUACACAUUUGUCAAAAAAAUAGGGAAUUUUCUUGGGGAUAACCAAAUUAACCAUCCCUUCCUCAUUACAAACAAAAGCUGAAAUCAACACACUGAAGUACGUAUUCUUGCAGUGGAUAGGGGGUUGAAAUGUGUGAUAUCUAUGAUGCUCUCAAUGAUUAGUGGAAUUGGUAUAUUUUGAAUGGGUUAUUAGUAAAUGUAUAAAUGACUCUGAAAUGGAUAAGUGUGAUGGCUGUAUAUUUAAUGAACCAAGGAAAUAUGACCCACUCAUGCUUAGAAGGUUCAGAUGUGACCAUUCAGGCAGAAAUUGGUGGCAUCUGUUGCCAGUUUGGAAUUUCACAAGUGCUGAAUAUUAUCAUUUAUGUGGCACAUUAAAUGAAUGUGCAAUGCUUACUGGUCAAAAUGAUCAGAACUGUUCUAUAUCAAAUUUCUCCCUCUGUUAAGCCAUAAGAUAUAGUCAAUGCUCAGUUGAUCAUUAGGAUUCUCCUAAUGUGACACUAAAAUUUUACUUUCAUAGACUGAAGCCAGUAUGGUAUAGUUGACUUAUUAAUUAUUGUACAUAUAUAAAGAAUGAACAAGCCUUAUGUGUAAUAAUAAUUUGUGGUAGAUAAAUCUGUAUUUCAAUCUGAUUAAAAAUAGGUAAUUUUAAAGUUUUGCUUCUCAAAAACAGAAAAAAAAUAUAGAAAAGUUCUCUAGUUGUGACUUGAACAACUAUCUUGUUUCUUGUACUUUAUCAUGUUUCUGGGGCAGAUAAAAAUCUAUGGUGGUAGGAUUUAGUAACAGCAAGAAAUUAUUAAGAAAAUUUGUGACUCAAACAGAUUAUAAGCAAAAUAAUUGCUGCGGAGAAUGAUGUAGACAUAAUUUGGGAUCUUACCAUUGUUUUCUAAAAUGUUGAGUGGAGGAAUAAUUAUAUUUUAAAAUAAUGUUGAAAAUAGUUCUUUACUAAGAAUGGUAAUUCUCUUUCAAGUGGCAGAAUUAGUGGAUUUUGCCACAUUCUCUUCUCAGAAAUAGCCAUCAAAGACGAAAAACAAACAAAAAACAGAUAAAAACCCACCUUUGAGGAAACUACAUCUGUUGUCUCAAACGAAAAUAUUUAUAAGCUGCCAAAUACAGAGAAAAUCAAAUGAGUGUGGGAAGAUGCCAAGAAAGUAUGAUUGCAGCUGAUUUCAGCUACAGAUGGCAGAGCACAAUCCCCAAAAGUAAGCAAUACAUCCUGAGGGUUAAAACAAGCACAGUGUGCACGGCUGGAGGUGGUUGCUUCCUGGACCCUGUUGAGCAUUACUGAGUAAUAGGGAAGGUGGUGCUGAAUGAGUAAACAUCCUAAACAAUUUUUUAGGAUGCAGCAAAUCAGUAAGGCUGUUUUGAGUUGAAAGGCUGAAAUGUAAACAGCCCUACAAAUCUGAUUUUUUAGGUGGCAAAAAAAAAAAAAAGGAUUAAAAUGACUCUCUCUCUCUCUCUCUCUCUCUCUCUCUCUCUCUCUCUCUCACACACACACACACACACACACACACACACAAUUUUUUCUUUUUUUUAUAAGGAAAGUAGUGUAGUAGUGUGCAGUAUGAACUAGUAUAAAUUUCUGGCAGCUGUAUUAAUAAAAAAUAUCUUCAAAAUGAUUAAACUGAGCAAAGAAUUAGGAAAAAGAAAAAACAGACACAGGACACUAAUCAGAAAUAUACUACCCCUGAGCUAAUAGAAAGCAUACACAAGCAUGUCACCAUAAACAAAGUGAUCAAUGAAACCACCAAAAAAUUUAAAACAAGGAGGAAAUAAUUAAUGAAGAUAUGGGCUGUGGAAACACGAAAACAUAAUAACAUGAGCUAACUGAAUCAGAAAGUGCAUAGAAAAGAAAACAAAAAUAAAGUCACAUUGGCAGCAACACAAUGGACACAUAUCAUCUGAAAUCACAGUUAAAAUAGGAAAAUCUAAAAUCUGAAAAGAGAAAAUCAAAUAAAACAAACUAUUAAAACAAUUAAUGAGAAAAUAAUAGAAAACAAAUGGAAAAUGUUUGUGGAAAAAAAAUGAGAACUAUUGAAAAAAAGUUUUCUGAAGAAGGGAAUGAGAAAAUAAAUAGUAACAGACAAAUUCAAAAUAUUUUUCAAACAAAACUAGUUAUUAAAGAAAGUGGAAUCUACUGAUUGAAAGCUGACAGAAUAUUUCAAGGAAAUACUCUGAGACCAAAUAGUCUAAAUACUCUCAGACCAAUUCUGGACUUCACCAGACUUGACAAAAAAAUGGCCAAUUCAUCUAUUUAGGUAUAACAUCAGGCUGGCAGAAUUCAUAAUUUGAGAUGGUAAAACAAUCAUUAUAUAGUCCUCAGGCUUUGAAAUUGUGCCUCCAAAAUUUUAUAUCCAGCCAAUCUAUUAUCUAGACAUAAAGUGAAAAUUAUUGAAAGACAAGCUUUAGAAAACCAAAAUAUAGAUCAAAAUGAUAGUAAAAGAUUAAUAGCAAUCAUUGAUACUGCUAAAAUUCUAAAACUAAAGCAAAAUAUUAGAAUUAUUAUUAUAGAUCAUAGUGUAAGUGUUCUAAAUUAUGCUAAAGGAGAGAUACUAUAACAAAUAAAAAGUCUUUAGUGUUAAAACAACUGGAUAUGUUUGGAGAAAAAACUAAAUCUUGACCACUACUUCAUAUCACACACACUUGGUAGAUUUGUAUGACACUUGCUUUUAAAUAGAAAUAUCUGCGGAAAAAAACACAAGUAAACCCAAAUAAAUGGAAAAAUACAAUAUAUAAAAAAUAGCAUUGCAGAUAUUUUAGGAAAAUAUGGACUAUUUAAUUAAUAAUAUCAAGAAAAUAAAGUCACCAAAUAGGCCAAAAGAAUAUAGAUUAGAUAGAUAAUAGAUAGAUGAUACAUAGAUAGAUGGAUAGAUAGAUAGAUAGAUAGAUAGAUAGAUAAGAUGUGUACACCUUUUACCAAACCAGUUCCAAACAGCAAAGUUUUUCACUUAAGUAAUGAUAUAAAAAUCUAGCGCAUCAAAACUGAGAGUUUAAAGAAAAGUAUAUUUGGGCCUAGCUGGGAUAUCUGGGAUGCAAAACCCAAAACAGAUUCAAGACAUUGAUGAAUUUGUAUAAAUAAAAUAAAAAUAAAUAUUCAGUUAAAAAGAAAACAACAUAAUUCAAAUGAAAAUAGAAAAAACCUUUCAAAAUAUUAAUAUACAGAGGUUUACAAAUAGACAAUAAAGGAAACACUACUUAAGAAGCAUUCCAAGGACAUUAAUGCACAGAGCAUUAAAAGGUAAAUGAAAAUGAUACAAUUUCCACAGCAUCAUUUGUGGUAAGAGAUAUCCAUAUUAAACUGAUGAGCUACUAUAUUUCAUUUAUUAUAUUGGCAGGGAUCAUGCAACUUAUAUAACGUGAUUUAUUGGUAAAUAUGUAGGGUAAGAAACAUUCUAGCCAAUUGUUGCCCUAUGCAUAAACUGGCACAACAUAUAAUACAUGUAAAACAUCUUGGUCAUAUUCAUCAAAACUACAAUUGCACAUUCCCUCUAACCAAUAAAUUGCACUUUCAGGUUUUACUUUUUAAUUACAAAUUGACUAGCCUGAAAAUAUUUAUUUUUAACAAAUUUUAAAUCAUGGUAAAAUACAUGUAGUACAAAAUUUCCCUUAGUUAUUUUUAAGUGUACAGUUCAGUAGUAUUAAGUACAUCUGCUUGUUCUGCAAUUAUCACCAUCAUCCAUCUCCAAGAAAGCAUCCAGCUAUGUUUUCUUGCAUAGCUGAAACUCUGUAUCCAUUAUAGAAUAACUCUUUAUUCCCCUUUCUUCUAGUACCUGGCAAACGCCAUUCUGCUCUCUGUGAAUCUGACUACUCUAGGUACAUCAUAUAAGUGAAAUCAUGCAGUACAUGUCUUUUUGUGAAUAUCUUAUUACACUUAAUAUAAUGUUUUAAAAGUUAAUCCAUGUUGUAACACAUAUCAAACCUUUCUAUUUAAGUCUGAAUAAUAUUGCACUGUAUGUAUAUGUAUAUACCACAUUUGUUUACAGAUUUAUCUGUCAAUGGACUUUUGGGGUGCUUCCACCUUUUGUCCAUAGUGAAUAAUGCUACUAUGAAUAUGGGUGUACAAAUAUCUCUUCAAGGUAUAUUCUUUGGGAUACAUACCCAGAAGUGAAAUUGCUGGAUCAUAAUUACUUUGUUGAGGAACUGCUUUAGUGGUUUCCUUAGUGACUGCUAUUUUACAACCCCAGCAACAGUUUAUGUGUUCUGACAUUUUUACAACCUCAUCAACAUUUGUUAUUUUCUGUUGUUUUUUGUUUUGUUUCUAUUUGCUUUGUUGUUUGAUAGUAAUCACGCUAAUGGAUGUGAGAUGGUUGUCCUGUGGUUUGGAUUUCCAUUUCUCUGAUACUUAGUGAUGCUAAAGACCUUUGCAUGUGCUUAUUGACCAUUUAUGUAUCUUUGGAGAAAUGUAUGGUCAAGCCAUUUUGUCUGUUGUUUAAAUUUCUUGUUAUGGUUGAGUUGUAAGAGUUCUUUAAAUAUUCUGUAUAUUAAUCCUUUAUCAAAUAUAUGAUUUGUAAAUAUUUUCUUCCAUUCCUUGGCUUGCCUUUGACUUUGUUGUGUCUGUGGAUGCAUAAAAGUUUUUAAUUUCAUACAGUCCUAUUUGUUUAUUUUUUUCUUUUGUUUGCUCUGCUUUUUGGUUACUUUCCAAAAAAUAAUUGCCAAAUUCAAUGUCAUAAAUAUUUUUUUUUGCUUGUGUUCUAAGAAUCUUACAAUUUUUGCUCACAUUUAGUUCUUUGAUCCAUUUUGAGUUCAUUUAAAUGUGUGGUAAAAUAUGCACUUUCUUAUCCUGCUUUCCCAACAACAUUUUUUGGAAAGACUCUUUCUCCAUUGAAUUUUUGUCAGAAAUCAUUUGAUAAUAUAUGUGAAGGUUUAUUUCUGAAAGCCCUAAUCUAGUCCAUUGGUCUAUCGCUUUGUCUUUAUACUAGUAUGACACUGUUUUUAUCACUGCAGCUUUGUCGUAAGUUCUGAAAUCAUGAAGUGUGGGACUUUCAAAUUUGUUCUUCUGUAAGAUCAUUUUAGCUAUUUGGGAUUCCUUGAGAUUCUUGCAAAUUUCACCAUGAAUUUUUCUAUUUCCACAAAAACACCAUUGAUAUAUUGACAAAGUUUGCGUUGGAUACGAUCAACAAUUUAACAAUAUUAACACAAUUUAUUAUUAUUAUUAUUAUUAUUUUCCAUUUA